UAAUUGAAGAGUUUGAUCAUGGCUCAGAUUGAACGCUGGCGGCAGGCUUAACACAUGCAAGUCGAGCGGUAACACA
rnacentral:rRNA from 1 species